rnacentral:rRNA from 1 species
AUGGAAGGCAUGCUGCACGGCGUGCCGUUCCUGUGCUGGCCGUACUUUGCUGACCAGUUCGCCAACCAAAGCUAUGUGUGCAACGUGUGGGGCACCGGCGUCAAAGCUUUGCCGAGACGAGCGAGGGGUCAUCACCAAGGAGGAGAUCGAGAGCAAGGUGGUGCGGCUGCUCGGCGACCAGGGGGUCAAGGCGAGGGCUGCGACGUGGAAGGACAAGGCUUGUGCGACCAUUGCAGAGGGAGGGUCCUCGCAUCAGUGCCUUCUCAAGCUUGUGAACUUGCUCGGAGAGGUGGGAUCCCAUCCCAUCACCGUGUGAUCACGACACCAGACAUCGGACGGCUCCGAACAUCUACGUUGAUAUACAAAAAAUUGAGGGCAGCUUGGUAA